UUAGUCAAUGUUAAUAUUUACAGCUCACCCCAAAUACAUUCAUUUUCUACUUAAAUUUAGAUGUGUACACAUAUAGUUUAGAUGCAGACUUUCAAGACUUCCUAAGAUAAAUUCGCUGUUUUCUCACACAACGCACACUCAAAUCGGGAUCCUGUGUGCCUGUUCUGAUGACAUUCAACAUUAUUUCCAAGUAUUGCUUGCAUAUGAUCUCCGUGCAACCCUCUGAGAUGGUGCCCAUGCCGUUAUACACUGCUCGACGAGUAAGAUUGUUCGUACUUUGGAUAGCCGGCUCCAUUAACUGAAACAAGAGUGGCAAAAGUUGGUCACCUGACACAAUCAUAGCUAUUUCAUCGAGAGCUUGACUGGCCCCCUCCGCAUAACUAUUGCCAUCCAAUUCAUCAUCCUCGCUAUCGGCCGGCUACUUGCAUAUCAAUUCAAAUAGAACUCUUACGAUGGGCAGCAGUAUAUUUUGUCUGAGAACUUCUGUCUUACUCACACGCAUAAAUUCAGAAAUGAAUGACAUACAUUGAAGUCGAAUAGUCUUCUCGAUUUGCUCACACGCCGACGCAUCCAGAAGUAAUUUCGCCACGGCUUCGGUAUCGUGAAAUGCCCUCGGAACAUACUCGGAAAAGGCAUCGAAUAUAUCAAAGACUAAGAGGCAUCAACUUGACCAUCACUUCUGCACCUGCUGGGUAUUCCCCUAGAAAUGGAAUCAGAUAUACUAUUCCGGUAAAUGGGAAAUUGGCCACAGUCCGUGAGGCUAAAGUGUUCUGGGCAUCGGAAUUAACCACCUGACACAAUCAUGGCUAUUUCAUCGAGAGCUUGACUGGCACCCUCCGCAUAAAUAUUGCCAUCCAAUUCAUCAUCCUGGGUAUCGGCCGGCUGCUUGCAUAUCAAUUCAAUUCAAACGCACACUCAAAUCGGGAUCCUGUGUGCCUGUUCUGAUGACAUUCAACAUUAUUUCCAAGUAUUGCUUGCAUAUGAUCUCCGUGCAACCCUCUGAGAUGGUGCCCAUGCAGUUAUAGGCUGCCCGACGAGUAAGAUUGUUCGUACUAUGGAUAGCCGGCUCCAUUAACUGAAACAAGAGUGGCAAAAGUUGGUCACCUGACACAAUCAUGGCUAUUUCAUCGAGAGCUUGACUGACCCCCCUCCGCAUAAAUAAUGCCAUCCUAUUCAUCAUCCUCGCUAUCGGCCGGCUACUUGCAUAUCAAUUCAAAUAGAACUCUUACGAUGGGCAGCAGUAUAUUUUGUCUGAGAACUUCUGUCUUACUCACACGCAUAAAUUCAGAAAUGAAUGACAUACAUUGAAGUCGAAUAGUCUUCUCGAUUUGCUCACACGCCGACGCAUCCAGAAGUAAUUUCGCCACGGCUUCGGUAUCGUGAAAUGCCCUCGGAACAUACUCGGAAAAGGCAUCGAAUAUAUCAAAGACUAAGAGGCAUCAACUUGACCAUCACCUCUAAACCUGCUGGGUAUUCCCCUAGAAAUGGAAUCAGAUAUACCAUUCCGGUAAAUGGGAAAUUGGCCACAGUCCGUGAGGCUAAAGUGUUCUGGGCAUCGGAAUUAACCAUGAUGGUCUCAAUCGUCAGUGAAAUGAUGUCAGGAAAAUUGAACAAUUGACAAAUUGAAAAUAUUUAUUACAAUUUUUGGAGGAUUUUUAAUUUUGAU